rnacentral:lncRNA from 1 species
GUUGAUUUAUAUGAUCGAUUUAAUGAGCUAUUUUGAAAACAACUUCGACCGUCUAUAGUAACAAUGCAGUCCUUUUCGCCUUCAAAAUAAACGAAAACUCAAUAAUUUAAACAAAAUGAGACGAUUUUUCAUGCUGAACCCAAAUUGCAGCAAUCAAUGGAAACCACUGAACAAUAUGCGAUUAUUCUUAGAGCGGAGUUGUACAUUUUACACAAAGCAUAACCUCCUCAUGACAUGUAACAGUGUUAAACAAACUUGACAAAUCAGCUAUAAAUGGGUAGACGAAUAUAAUCGAUAUAGAACACAAGAG